GGAGCACAACAUAGGAAGAGAUGACAGCCAGGUGUCAUAUCAGCCUCUGAGCCUGGAGUAGCACAUGAUGUUAACUGCCAUUUAUCUCCUUUCAUCCCUCUGUUGUCUGGGAAAUCCUGCUAAUAAGGUGCCAUCUACAUGUGUUGUCCUACCUUUAUCUCAGUUCAGUACUUAAGAAUACCUGCAGAGUGCGACUCAGUACUACUUGUCCAUUAGGAGCAAUUUAUGCAGGACAGCUAAGGCUUCUUUGCAUGAUUUUGCUUUGCCAGAUUACUCAUAGCAGAGGUGAUAAUUGUAAUUGAGACUUUAGUAUCUUUUGUCAUGGUAAUUACAUACUGCAUUUUUUAAAAGAAUUUAGGAAUGCAUGCAACAAAAUGUAGAUCAGAAGCUUUGCCACAAAGGAUAAGGCAAGGGAAAUGAAUUAAAUUAACUUUUUAUUGGGUUGUCUUGAAUAAUCUGUUAAAUAAUACAAUACAGGUAUGCUUUAAAGGAACAAAGAGAGUGGGAAAGCAUAUCUCUUCAGCUUUACUUUGUGGAAAUCCAAUUCGUGUUUGCUUAGAUUUACUGUAAGAGAAGACGACCUUGAAAAUUAGGCAGUGUUUGUUCGAGUAGUCCUAUUUAAUUCAUACAUGAUAGAUUGAGAGAAGUGUUGCACCUCCUUGAUUUAUAGACUUUUUCUUAUAUCCUUAUUACCUCUGAAGAGGAAAGAUUUAGGCUGUGAAUAGAGAAUAUAUAGAUGGAUAACAAGUGCAAACUUGAAAACUUACACAAAACUGCAGAAACUCUCACUUUUUAGUCAAGAUUUUUAGUUCCAUUUCAGACACUGCAUCCUGUUCUCCUUAGGGUUUGGGUAGGUGAUGUUCACUGAAGAACUGAACAGACAAAAUGCUUACGCAAGACACUUAGUGAAAUGUGGGCUCUAUAAGACAUUCAACAUACCAUCAAACCACUGUUAUGAGAAAUGCCUGUUUUGAGAAACAACAAUUUUCCAACAGAUGCAAAUCAGAAAAGAUAGCAACAAACAAGAGUAAUGUUGGUUUUGUAACCAAAUGGUAUAUAUUAUUUGCAAAAUUAUUUUGUCCCCUUUUUUUGCAUUGUAUAAUUUGCAUGUCAUCUUCUUCUCCCCGCUUAUAUCCUCUCCAAUAUGUAUUAAUUUGUGUAAGAAAUAAGUUGUUGUUGUAUUAGGAAAUUCUUAACAAUAAAACCUUGUUCUAAUGAACAGUUUUUAUUAUUAGAUAGCAUGAGGCUUUGUUAAGGAAGCCAAUGUCUGGUAGGAAGCUUUGAAAGCUGAGAGAAUUAUAUGCAGAAAAUUAAAGGAACAUCCAAGAACUCAUUCUUUUCCCACCUUUUCCAAAAAAUAGCAGAGUAAAUCAUAAGAUCUGAGUGUUCUUAUUCUCAGCUUUUCUGGAACUAGACUCUAAAUUUUUAUUCCUCAAACUUUAAAUAAACUCAGUUAUAUACCUCUUAUAUAGUAAUCUAUUUUUCCAUAAUGAUUUUGAAUUAAGUGAAGUGUGCCAUUGCUUUGGCCUCUGUGGCAACAUCAAAGACUGUUCCUUCUAAGUAAAUUUUCUACCUGCCA